rnacentral:rRNA from 1 species
UACGUAGGGUGCGAGCGUUGUCCGGAAUUACUGGGCGUAAAGAGCUCGUAGGUGGUUUGUCGCGUUGUUCGUGAAAACUCACAACUCAAUUGUGGGCGUGCGGGCGAUACGGGCAGACUGGAGUACUGCAGGGGAGACUGGAAUUCCUGGUGUAGCGGUGGAAUGCGCAGAUAUCAGGAGGAACACCGGUGGCGAAGGCGGGUCUCUGGGCAGUAACUGACGCUGAGGAGCGAAAGCGUGGGGAGCGAUCCGG